rnacentral:misc_RNA from 1 species
ACUCAAUGGAUAGCAAACCACCACAGAAGAAAUGAGAUCUCAGCUGAUAGCCACUAGAAACAAUAUAACUUUUAAACUUCUGUUGUUGCUUUGUUGUGGAAUUUAUUAACAUAGGUCUUAUAUUAAAGUUUAGCAAUAUUACAUGUAACUGGAUGAGGAAAAUUGCAGUAGAGAUUGACAUACUGGUGUUUUAGUUGAAGUGAAAUUGUUGUCAGGCCAUUGGACAUACUCAGCUCUGUGGUAGCAUCACAUUGAAAGCAUCAGCUUGUAAUUAAUAUUUGGCUGGUCUGUAGAGCAUUUGACUUGUCCUGGUCUAAGCAUUUUUAGUGCUUUUAUUGAUGUGUCGUUAUGUGUGUAAAUCAAACUAUGGUAUUAAACAGUUUCAUUCAAUGCUAUAUAAAAUUUAAGAAAAUU